GACGAACGCUGGCGGCGUGCUUAACACAUGCAAGUCGGACGGAAAGGCCCUGCUUUUUUGGGGUUCUCGAGUGGCGAACGGGUGAGUAACACGUGAGUAACCUGCCCUUGACUUUGGGAUAACUUCAGGAAACUGGGGCUAAUACCUGAUAGGAGCUCCUGCUGCAUGGUGGGGUUUGGAAAGUUUCGGCGGUUGGGGAUGGACUCGCGGGUUAUCAGCUUGUUGGUGGGGUAGUGGCUUACCCAGGCUUUGACGGGUAGCCGGCCUGAGAGGGUGACCGGCCACAUUGGGACUGAGAUACGGCCCAGACUGCUACGGGAGGCAGUAGUGGGGAAUAUGGCACAAUGAGCGGAAGCCUGAUGCAGCAACGCCGCGUGCGGGAAGAAGGCCUUCGGGUUGUAAACCGCUGUAGCCUGUGACGAAGCGUGAGUGACGGUAAUGGGUAAAGAAGCACCGGCUAACUACGUG
rnacentral:rRNA from 1 species